UAGGGAAUCUUCCGCAAUGGACGCAAGUCUGACGGAGCAACGCCGCGUGAGUGAAGAAGGAUUUCGGUUCGUAAAACUCUGUUGUUAGAGAAGAACAGCGCAUAGAGUAACUGUUAUGCGUGUGACGGUAUGUAACCAGAAAGGGACGGCUAACUACGUGCCAGCAGCCGCGGUAAUACGUAGGUCCCGAGCGUUGUCCGGAUUUAUUGGGCGUAAAGCGAGCGCAGGCGGUUAGAUAAGUCUGAAGUUAAAGGCAGUGGCUCAACCAUUGUAGGCUUUGGAAACUGUUUAACUUGAGUGCAGAAGGGGAGAGUGGAAUUCCAUGUGUAGCGGUGAAAUGCGUAGAUAUAUGGAGGAACACCGGUGGCGAAAGCGGCUCUCUGGUCUGUAACUGACGCUGAGGCUCGAAAGCGUGGGGAGCGAACAGG
rnacentral:rRNA from 1 species